CAAAAACUGGGGUUUCUUUAGAAGAGCCAUUCCUGAAAAUCUUCCCUCCUGCCCAGUACAGAUUGGGCCUGAGGGGGGUGUAGAGAUCAGAUUGUGUUAAUAGUAGAGCUUGCCUACCACAAGUAGAACUUUGUAAGAUUUUAUAAACAACUUGUGGAGGUGUGUUCAAUUGGCACAUAAAACGCACAAGCCAGAGGAAGGUGGAACCAGGGUUUCUCCUUUGUGGCACAGUGCCAGGAUCAUAACUGCUUUAGGUAAACACAGCUCAGCCUCUGGACUGUUGAUUCAGGUGCUUUGGAAAACAAUAUACAGUUAGGAUUGCUGUUUUAGAUAGUGCCCUGAUACAAUUUUUUUUGUUUUAUGGUUUUUCUCUGCAGAGGUAUGUAUGCCACAGAGCUGCAUCAACACACAUGUGGACGAGUUGAUAGCAAUGCCUUAUGAAUGAAUGAGGCUGUGCGUAGGAUGCAAGUUGUUCACAACAAGACCAUUUCCCAACCUGCUGUCCUCCAAAGGAUUUCGUGCCAGAAGGAAAGCGAUAAUUGGGGAUCCAGAAAGAUGCUGACAGAAAGACUGCUUCUGGAGAAAGGACCUCACUAGAUGGAAAAUACCUUUUUUUAUAAAUUAUGAAAUUGAUGCUUUAUGAAUUGUAGCCCAUCAUGUGCAAGAUCUGAAAUAGAUACAAACUGUGACUGAAGAAAUUGGAGCCUAUCCCCUUUAGUCAUGUGGAAAGCCAGAAAGAUAUAAAUCCAUCAUGUAAAAACCUAUCUUCAUAUCUCUUCAACUUCACCGAAGUUUUGAUCUAAGCUU
rnacentral:lncRNA from 1 species